UAUUUGUUACAUUUUGGCUUGAAUGUCCUUAUGUAUCAAUCCACUAUAAUUUUGUUAUUCAUUUCUGUUCGGGUACCUAGUCGUACCCACAGUCGUUGUUUUACUGUCUGAUUGUCUAAAUCAGUAAGCACCAUGUACACGACUGGAGCGCAAAGUGUAUUUCGUUCCGUACCAACCUGCUUCUUUUGCUCCGUGCAACGGAUCGGAUUUGAAGAUCGGAAUUGCGGCAAACAGUCAAGCAUCAACCAAAGAACCAGCCCAACCAAGCUACCGACCGAAAUGGCUUAAUGAUGUACGGGACCCUUUUUCUUUUGCUUCGUUGUAAUUGUAAUAAAAUCGUAUGGGCACUUCGAAUUAAUGAUGCAUGGUUGAUUCCACAGGGUCGUUUAGAUGGGAAAUCGCCCUGAAUAUCAUUCAAGUUAUUAUCAGUUAAUUCGAACUCCUUUAAUGUUUAUUCGAAACGCAAGUUUUUAUAAUUAUUAUAAAAUUAACAAUUAUUCCACGUUAAUGUAAAAACAAAAUUAAAUCAAACUAACAAAAUCAAAAACACUGAUGUAAUAGUUUAAUGAAUUACUCUUGAAAAAGGUCUAAUACACAAAGUGCUGCAGUGUCGAGCAAAGCAAAAUUUAUCGUUUCAAUUUCCCUAGACUAAGAAAGUCACAUUAUCACUGUUGUGGCGGAAAUUCUUUGUGAACCCAAAUUGCAACAACUUGUUAAUAUUGGUAAUACUGAAUAAAGGAAAUAGUCAGUAGUGUUCCAUAGAAGAGAAGAGUUCGGGAGGCCGUUUCUUUGGUAGUGCGGAGUGAACACCAAAAUGUAUGUUAUUGUAUAAAUUAAUGACCAAAUAGGGAACCACUAUGUCCCUAACUAAUACACUUUCCCUAUAAUUUGUUAAUAUCUGUAAUGAAUAAACAAUUUUCAGUAUUGAAGCUGUGAGCAUGGAA